UAAAUCUCAGACAAAGGAAUCAGUCCUGGAUGUCCAGGUCUUCCCAUUCAGUGAUCAACCCUGAUAACAAAACAGACAAUGAUAUGAUGCUGAUUUGGGUUUUCCUUGUUGUUUUCUUAAAAGAUGUCCAGUCUGAGGUGCAGCUUGUGGAGACUGGAGGAGGCCUGGUUAAGCCUGGGGGAUCCCUGAAACUAUCCUGUGUAGCCUCUGGAUUCACUUUCAGAAACUACUGGAUGACCUGGGUUCGCCAAGCUCCAGGGAAAGGCCUGGAGUGGGUUGGAAAUAUUAAUAAAGACAGCAGUACUAUAAGAUAUGCACCAUCCGUGAAGGAUCGAUUCGCCAUCUCCAGAGACAAUGCCAAGAAAACUCUGUACCUGCAAAUGAGCAGUGUGAGAUCUGAGGACACAGCCACUUAUUACUAUGCUAGAGACACAGUGAUGAGACCCAGUGAUGGGACAGACACAGUGACAGGACUUCAGUGUUAA